GAUGAACGCUGGCGGCGUGCCUAAUACAUGCAAGUCGAGCGGAAAGGCCUCUUCGGAGGUACUCGAGCGGCGGACGGCUGAGUAACGCGUAGGAACGUACCCCAAACUGAGGGAUAACUGCUCGAAAGAGUAGCUAAUACCGCAUGUGCUCUACGGAGUAAAGCUUCGGCGGUUUGGGAACGGCCUGCGUACGAUUAGCUUGUUGGUAAGGUAAUGGCUUACCAAGGCGACGAUCUUUAGCUGGUCUGAGCGGAUGAUCAGCCAGACUGGGACUGAGACACGGCCCAGACUCCUACGGGAGGCAGCAGUAGGGAAUUUUCCACAAUGGGCGAAAGCCUGAUGGAGCAACGCCGCGUGCAGGAUGAAUGCCUUCGGGUUGUAAACUGCUUUUAUAAGUGAAGAAUAUGACGGUAACUUAUGAAUAAGGAUCGGCUAACUCCGUGCCAGCCGCCGCGGUAA
rnacentral:rRNA from 1 species